ACAGUGGAGUUGGAGAUGAUCUUAACUCGUAAUAUGAAUCUUCAAAAAGAAGAAAAUCAAAAUUAAUUUAGGUGUAAACCAAACCAAACCGACUUAGAUACAAAAGAAAAAAAAAAUCUAAAAUCAGUUUUACAAACCAAACCGAUUCAAACAGAAAAAGCAUUCAAUGGGUACGUCUAAGAGCAUCAUUAUCUAUGGUUCUUUAUGGCGGAGUUCUUAGAGGAAUAUAAGAAACUGUUUCUUAGAUACUAACAAACGCAAACUCUUUUGUGUAGUACAGUAGUAGUAGUAGUCUCUGUGGAACUCGUUUGACCAAACGAUCCCAGCUCAUAUCCACCGUCAAAACAAAACACUGCUUCUCCAAAGACCAUCCAACCAAAAGAAAAAUGUAAAAGAAAAGAAUCAAUCUUUUGAGAGGCAGUUUUCUUUCUUCUCCAAUCUUGUUUCCUUGUUGGUUCGGUGUAGAGAGAAACCCUGUGUUUGCAAUUGUUUGUUUCUCUGUUAUUCCAGGGGAAAGUUUUCAUUUUUAUUAGUUUGGGGGUUGGAUUGAAAAACUUUUAUAAAUGUGGGGAGCUGCCGCAUAACCAGCAGAUUCUUAUUACCAGCAGACUCGUCCUGAGUGCACCGAUGUCCCCAAUACCGCCAGAUUCAAGAUCAAACCUGGUGAGUGUCAGAAAAUGGCAGGCUGCCUUUUACGCGCAGAAAGGUUUCCUCGGUAUUGGCAAGAGUCCAAGUCGAAUGAAUCCAACGAGGGGUAAGUCUUUUACGAUUGGAUAGACAACGAUGUUGGUUGGGUAUUGCCAAGGUAAAGCUUUAUUAGAUUUUCAGAUAUAAAUCCUUUUCUCAAGCAGGUUGAUUCUUAGGGUUUUUGAUCUGUGUGGUUUGCUUCUGAGCAGGAAUGAGUGAUCUUCGUUCACCUAUGAUUAUGCUUUUUGGUGUUUUGAACGGUUGAUGGGCCGAUUGGAAUUUGUUGUCUUCUUAUAUGUAUGUAUUGACUCUCUCGAGGUAACUUGAGGAGCACGGGAAGGUCAGUUGGAGUUGAAGCACAGCUUACUCAUUUGGCUACAAUCACUCAAAUCAUUGACCCCAAAGUUCACUAUCUCUUAGAAACGUCGUAUCUUGGACCGCACGCUAAGAUUGGGUUUUCUGAGCAGAUGACGUGGGCAUUAUUAGAGUAUGAGCCUGAUAUGUAUUCUCUGUACGAGGAGCCUCAUUUCGAAGGGAAGAAAAUGGAAGGCUCAUCCAAGGGUAAACCUAAGUCGAUAACAUGAAGAACGGUGGGAAAAGCAGUGCACAAGGUCCUACUUUGCCUAUAUAGGUUUUCUUAGUGGCUAGUGUUUUUUCGAAAGACGAGUGUUCUAAGCUUAUGACCGAAGCUUGAGGACUAGAUGAUGUUGUUAAGGCGAAGAAAUAGGAUUGGAGAAGAUUCAUGAGUAGUGUUUUUGUUUUGUUAUUUUUUACAUAUUUGAUAGCUAGCAAAAUCUGGUGGCAAAAAAGCUACUCGUCAGUGAUUUACAUUCCUUGGGAGACAAGCAUUCUUUAAUGCCUCAUCCGCUACUGAUUUCUGCCCAAUAUCUUGCUUGAACACAGCCUACAAGGUGAUCUCAAAGCUGAUUGCGAACAGACUUAAAGAAGUUCUUCCCCAUGUGAUAUCUCAAGCUCAAUCAGCUUUCAUGCCGGGGAGACUUUUGGCUAAAAACGUUCUCUUAGCCACUGAUUUAGUAAAAGGGUACAACACCAACAGCUUGGAUGCUCGAGGUAUGCUAAAAGUCGAUCUUAGUAAGGCCUUUGACUCUAUUAGAUGAGACUUUAUCUUGGGUAUUCUCAGAGCUAUUUCGAUACCUGAGGCUGUUAUCACUUGGAUUUCACAAUGCAUCUCAACAGCUUCCUUAUCAGUUUCUGUAAAUGGUGCGAGUGGUGCUUUCUUUAACAGCACAAAGGGCAUAAGACAAGGCGAUCCGAUGUCACCGUACCUAUUUGUUCUUGUGAUGGAAGGUCUGUUUCGGCUUCUCAGAUCACGUUACGACUUGGGUUCCAUCGGCUAUCAUCCUGGAACAUCUGAUCUUAAAAUCUCUCACCUGAUGUAAUGAUAUAUUUUUAUGGUACCAGUGACUCUUCAUGGCAUCACUGAAUGCCUACGACUUCGCUUCGUGGUCUGGCCUCAGAAUGAACCGCACCAAAACGGAGAUAUUCACCUCGGAUUUGAAACUUAGUGAGACCACUGCAGUUGCAGCGUACGGCUUCCCUACAGGUACUCUUCCUGUCAGAUAUCUAGGCCUGCCUCUGAUGAGCAGGAAGCUUCGUGUAUCAGAAUAAGAGCCCCUCAUGAUAAAGAUCCAGUCUCGUUUUAGUUUCUGGGGAGUAAAGGCAUUAUUUUUUGAUGGUAGGCUACAACUAAUUGCAACAAUCAUAUAUGGGACUUUAAAAUUUUGGAUGUCCACUUUUAUUCUCCCAAAGGGAUGUAUCAAGAGGAUUGAGGCUUUAUGUUCGAGAUUAUUGUGGUCUGGAACUACAGAUAUAACAGGGAAAGCUAAAGUUGCAUGGAUCACGGUCUGUCUACCGAAAAAAGAAGGAGGGCUUGGACUGAGAAACAUGUCCACUGGAACAGGGUGCUGUGUUUACAUUCCAUUUGGCUCCUGUUCUCAGAAAGUGAAUCGCUUUGGGCGCAAUGGCACAGACAUCACCAAUCCAACGUGAGAAGCUUUUGGGCUGUCGAAGAAGCAUCUAUGGACUCAUGGGUCUGGAAACAACUUCUCAAGCUGCGACAAGAAGGUAUAAAAUUUAUCAAGCCGAUUCUCGCUAGUGGACGCAGAAUCAGCUUCUGGUACGAUGUUUGGACCCCAUUUGGGCAGCUCAUUCAUUUCCAAGGACAGUGUGGACCCUACCAGCUUCGGGUCCCAAUAAAUGGUCUGGUGGCAGAUGCGUGCUCCCUUACGGCUUGGUCGCUGCCUCCUCCUAGAUCCGACAAGACGGUUGAGCUCCAUAUCUUCUUAACCUCCAUCCAAUGUCCGGCUUACUCAACAGUUGCAGACACUUAUGAGUGGACAACCUCUACUAAGCUAGAUGCAAAAUUCAGUGCCUUAAAUAAUUGGCAAGAUAUGCACCUCCCAGCUCCUGUCCAACCAGUGGCGGAGACUAUCUGGUUUAAAGGAGCAAUACCAAGGAACAGCUUUAAUAUGUGGAUAGCAAGCUUGAGCAGAUUUCUAACCAGAGCAAGACUAGCAGGGUGGGGCCUUCAAAUAAAUACAGCUUGAUAUCUCUGUUCUGCCUUUACAGAAACCAGGGAUCACCUCUUUCUCUCUUGCGCUUAUAGCAUGGAGGUGUGGCGACUCUCUAUUGGCAGGUUAAACCCACCGAACUCUCUGUUCAGAACUUGGGCUGAGAUCCUAUCUUGGAUUAGAGCUACCUCAGUCGCAGCGCCUUCUCUCCUGCAGAAGCUAGCUGCCCAAUGUAUCAUUUAUCACCUCUGGAAGCAACAAAACAAUGUGCUACACAAUCACAUUGUUCUACCACCUACCACCAUAUUCAGGACCGUUGAUAAGGAGAUGCACAACACAAUUACAGCAAGGAGGGAGAGGAAGCACUUCCUCAACCUUAUGGUCAAAUGAAUGCGAUGAACUACGUUUUAUCUCAUAUUCAACUUUGUUACAUCUUUGUUUUUUUCUACUUUUUUGCCAAGGUGUAACAAAACCUAGAUCUACAUUUCUCGUAAAUCUUUUUUCAUUUAUACGAUAUUUACCUUUUAGCAAAAAAAAAAUAAAGCUGAAAUAUUUUUUUUUAUCUUCCUCAACUGUUUUUUUUUGUACUAAGCCAAUCUUACAUCCUUGGAAGUCACUGAAAGAAUAUGGUCUGGUUCUUAGGAGGAGGAACAAAAGUUCAGGUUAACGAGUAAACAUUUUCGUUCCUUCAAACUGCUUUGCCUAUAAAUAAAUAUCCAGCCCACAACCAAUCUUUAACCACGUUAUCUUAUUUCCCCCAGCUCAAAAACGUUUUCAUGAUAACCAAACAGAGAGGCAGCAACGCACCGCUUGGUUUUUUAGAUUGGUUAUGUAGAUUGGUCAGAGGCUCGUCUGACACGUAGUCUUUCUUUGGGAUAUACUAGUCUUGAGCAACAAAUA